rnacentral:tRNA from 1 species
GGCGCAUUGGUGAAGCGGUUUAACACACUCGGCUUUCUACCGAGGAUGCGUGGGUUCGAAACCCACAUGCGCUAU